rnacentral:rRNA from 1 species
CGCGUGGAUAUCUGCCCUUUAGUGGGGAACAACUUGGAGAAAUCCAAGCUAAUACCGCAUAAUACCUACGGGUGAAAGCGGGGGACCUUCGGGCCUCGCGCUGAAGGAUGAGUCCGCGUCUGAUUAGCUAGUUGGUGAGGUAAUGGCUUACCAAGGCGAUGAUCAGUAGCUGGUUUGAGAGGAUGAUCAGCCACACUGGAACUGAGACACGGUCCAGACUCCUACGGGAGGCAGCAGUGGGGAAUUUUGCACAAUGGGGGAAACCCUGAUGCAGCGACGCCGCGUGCGGGAAGAAGGCCUUAGGGUUGUAAACCGCUUUCAGUUGGGAAGAAGGGAUGAGUAUUAAUAGUAUUCUGACUUGACGGU